rnacentral:rRNA from 1 species
UACGUAGGGCGCGAGCGUUGUCCGGAAUUAUUGGGCGUAAAGAGCUCGUAGGCGGUCUGUCGCGUCUGCUGUGAAAACUCGGGGCUUAACCCCGGGCCUGCAGUGGGUACGGGCAGACUAGAGUGCGGUAGGGGAGACUGGAAUUCCUGGUGUAGCGGUGAAAUGCGCAGAUAUCGGGAAGAACACCCGUGGCGAGGCGGCUACUCUGGACGGUACUGGACGCUGA